rnacentral:rRNA from 1 species
GGGGAGUGGCAGACGGGUGAGUAACGCGUGGGAAUCUACCUAGUUCUACGGAACAACAGAGGGAAACUUCUGCUAAUACCGUAUACGCCCUAUGGGGGAAAGAUUUAUCGGAAUUAGAUGAGCCCGCGUAAGAUUAGCUAGUUGGUGAGGUAAUGGCUCACCAAGGCGACGAUCUUUAGCUGGUCUGAGAGGAUGAUCAGCCACACUGGGACUGAGACACGGCCCAGACUCCUACGGGAGGCAGCAGUGGGGAAUAUUGGACAAUGGGCGCAAGCCUGAUCCAGCCAUGCCGCGUGAGUGAUGAAGGCCUUAGGGUUGUAAAGCUCUUUCAGUAGGGAAGAUAAUGACGGUACCUACAGAAGAAGCCCCGGCUAACUUCGUGCCAGCAGCCGCGGUAAUACGAAGGGGGCUAGCGUUGUUCGGAUUUACUGGGCGUAAAGCGCACGUAGGCGGAUUGGUCAGUUAGAGGUGAAAUCCU